UGAAGAUGAAUCUCAGCCUGGUGUAAGACUGAUAUUCCCUUUUGCAAAUCGCUAGUCAUAUGGCAAAGUAUGCAAGAAGGCCAUUUCAGCACUACCCCAUAGUCCAAAAAAAAGAAGAGAGCUCAUUUCAAAAACAGAAGAUCAAUGAUGCCUUUCGCUUCAUCAAGCAGGUAUUCCGAAUGGAAUUUUUCAGUCAUAGCAUGGCAAAGGGCCUUAUGGCGGAAUAGGAGGGGCAGUAAAAAGAACAAUUUGGAAGAAAGUUUUACAGGCAAAUAACAAUCAGAAAUGCUGAAGGAUUUUUAUUGUGUGCGCCAAAAAUCAGGAAGAAAACAAGAUCAGAUGUCUGUAUGUGACAGAAGAAGAAAUUAUGAAAGAAUAAAGUGAUAAGCUAGAGGAGCUCUUAAAAAAUGUUAAAUCCAGUUAAAGGAGUUCAAACCGCAAGAAGUAUAGUAAAAACUAGAUCUCUUGAAAUUAGCCUGUUCAAGAACAUCGGUGAUUCUGAACCAACUGGUCUUCCCAUAACACUUUUAAAACAUCAUGAUUCAAUUAAUGUCAGUGAUGAGUCUGCAGACGUGAAUAGAAGAAUGUUAAAGCUGAAGAGAUUUAGUCCUACACAUUAUAUUUGCACGAAAGACUAAUUCUUGAUAAUCCGCAAGUUUUUAUGUAAUCUGAGCUUCAUAUUAUAAAUCCAUUUCUAAAUGCCAGUGAAGGUAAACAGUAUUAAAAUAUUUACUCACUCGCGAGUUCGUUUGUCACAGUUACGUUAGUCACGCAUACAUAGUGCGUUUUUUGUUUACAGUGAAUUCUAUAUGGUGCUUUCUUAUUAUGUUAAUUCACAAAAUAAUAGUUAAGGCCAUGAAUCACUUAUUUAAAAAAAUAUUGUGUCAUAUUAAGCCGUUAUUUUAGAGAAUUUUAUACCUAAAGUAAGGAUUACUUUUACCAGGUUGCAUUUCUGUUAAGUUUGUCACAGUGUGCCAAAGUGUAUUUAAUUAUGAAAUUACGUUAAAAAAUAAAAUCAGAUCUCUAUUUUGUUCAUAUAUAAUUAAUUUACAAUAAUAUGUAAUUUAUUAUUAUUAUUCUGACAAUACAUAUUUUAAUUUCAUUAAAAACUGGAAGAAAAAUUGUGCAAAUGUUACGUUUGUCACAAUGGAAUGACCCUGGAUCCUUAUGCUGGAGUUUGAAUCUAAA
rnacentral:lncRNA from 1 species